CAGGACCUGAGCAUUUUAGAGAGGCUGGACAACAGAGAACAUCUGCUGAAGAUCUCCUCUUAUUGAAAGCCCAAAGUGAAAGAGGACCAUACCUAUUAGCUCUCCCAGACAUCCAUCGUCCUAAGGAAAGAAAUAUGAAGGGAAAAAAUGUCCAAGAGCACACCAGGGAAUAAAAGAGACUGAAGUCUAAGUGAGCUGUGGAAUUAAAAACACAAUCACGGAUAUAAAGCAAAGCAGAAAGGAGAAGGAGAAGAAAAAUUCCCCCAAGAUUGUAUGUGCAUCGAAGAACUGAUAUAAUUUAAAAAGACAAAAACAAGCUGGAAAACUCUUUUGAUGCUCCACUGUUACCGUAACCUAGAUUUUAGCUUCUUAGCAACAAAAUAAAAUAUGCAUGUUUUGAAAA